AUGGAGUUUUGUUGUUGUUGCCCUGGCUGGAGUACACUGGCAGGAUCUCGGCUCACCGUAACCUCCACCUCCCGGGUUCAAGCGAUUCUUCUGCCUCAGCCUCCCAAGUAGCUGGAAUUACAGACAUGUGCCGCCAUGCCCGGCUAAUUUUGCACUUUAGUAGAGACGGGGUUUCUCCAUGUUGGUCAGGCUGGUCUUGAACUCCCGACCUCAGGUGAUCCGCCUGCCUUGGCCUCCCAAAGUGCUGGGAUUACAGGUGUGAGCCACCAUGCCCGGCCCUGACCUCCCACUUCUACCUUCACUCCUUACAUGCUUCGGCUGUGCCUCCUGGAACACUAUUCCAUGAUUAACAAACUCUUCUGCCAUCCACAAACUCAUCCCCGAAUAUCCACGUUCCUGGGUUUCCCAUGAGGAUGGAGCUUCCUUUACAGCCCUUUCCAGUGAAAGUGAUCUAUACCAACACAUCGCAUGUACUGCAUAUGGAGGAGAACCUGAGGAAAAAGAAGUAACUUGCCGAAGAUUACGCAGAUAUGAAAUACCAGAAUCUGGAUUUGAACUCAAGUGGUCACAACACUAUGCUCUCUAAAUUACCACAUUUAAAGUGUCCCUGCUGUGUCCUGCCCUGUCCUGCCCCACUCCACCUCGUUCUCCCUCCCCUCCUUAACUCUUCCCUUCCUUCCCCAUAGGUAAUGACUGGCAAUAAUUUUGUGUGUAUAUUGUGUGUACAUUUGUGUGUAUAUCCUUCCAGAAAUUUUUGGCGCAUUUAUAUACACAGUACAUAUGUGCUUUUUAUCUUUACCUGUUCAGAGAAACUUCUCUAGUAACAAACUAUAGAAGUGACCCCUGAAAAUAUAGUCUUACACACAUGCUUUUAAACUGAUACAUAAUAUUUGCAUAAAUUUAUAGGGUAUAUGUAGUAUUUCAUUGCAUGCAUCGAAUGUGUAUUAAUGAAGUCAGGGUAUUUAGAGUAUCCAUCACCUUGAGUCUUUAUCAUUUCUAUGUGUUGGGAAUAUUUAAAGUCCUUUCUUCUUGUUAUUUUGAAAUGUACAAAGCAUUGUUGCAAACUAUGGUCACCCUACUCUGCUAUCAAACAUUGUAACUUAUUUCUUCUAUGUAAUUGUAUUAUUGUACCCAUUAACCAAUCUUUCUUCAUCAACCCCCCCCACCCACAUACACUUCCCACCCCCUCUGGUUUCUAUCAUUCUACUCUCUACCCCCAUGAGAUAAGCUUUUUUAGUUCCCACAGAUGAGUAAAAACAUGUGAUAUUUGUCGUUUUGUCCCUGGCUUAUUUCACUUAACAUAAUGACCAGACAUGUUGCUGCAAAUGACAGGAUUUCAUUUUUAUGGCUGAAUAGUAUUCCAUUAUGUAUAAAUACCACAUUUUCUUUAUUCAUUUGCCUGUUAAUGAACAUUUAGGUUGAUUCUGCAUCCUGGCUAUUAUGAAUACUGCUACAAUAAACACUGGGGUGCAAGUA